rnacentral:rRNA from 1 species
UGGGGAAUAUUGCACAAUGGGCGCAAGCCUGAUGCAGCCAUGCCGCGUGUGUGAAGAAGGCCUUCGGGUUGUAAAGCACUUUCAGCGAGGAGGAAGGUGGUGAGCUUAAUACGCUCAUCAAUUGACGUUACUCGCAGAAGAAGCACCGGCUAACUCCGUGCCAGCAGCCGCGGUAAUACGGAGGGUGCAAGCGUUAAUCGGAAUUACUGGGCGUAAAGCGCACGCAGGCGGUUUGUUAAGUCAGAUGUGAAAUCCCCGGGCUCAACCUGGGAACUGCAUUUGAAACUGGCAAGCUAGAGUCUCGUAGAGGGGGGUAGAAUUCCAGGUGUAGCGGUGAAAUGCGUAGAGAUCUGGAGGAAUACCGGUGGCGAAGGCGGCCCCCUGGACGAAGACUGACGCUCAGGUGCGAAAGCGUGGGGCAGCAAACAGGAUUAGAUACCCUGGUAGUCCACGCUGUAAACGAUGUCGAUUUGGAGGUUGUGCCCUUGAGGCGUGGNUUCCGGAGCUAACGCGUUAAAUCGACCGCCNGGGGAGUACGGCCCAAGGUUAAAACUCAAAUGAAUU